UCCUUGGUGGCUCAGACAGUAAAGAAUCUGCCUGCAAUGCAGGAGACUCAGGUUCAAUCCCUGGAGAAGGAU
rnacentral:tRNA from 1 species